CAGGUUAGGAAAAUCAAAACAGUUGCCAGGUAUGUUCCUAAAGCUGUUAUGCCAAGCCCCCAAGAAGAGGGAACCAAGGCAGGGAAAUUGUUUGAUCAUGAGGCAAACACAGAAGCAGAUUUGUUAGCUGAUAGAAAUCUAGUAUAUAAUAAGAAUAAUCCCAGAGAUGAUGAAGAUGAUGCUUGUAAUUGCUGUAUCAAGCACAUGAUAGACUCUAAUAACACCAUCUCCAAGACCCAAACGCAAAGCAAGGUGGUUUCUGAGACCAGCAUGGAUGAUAAAGCCUUCCAUAAUAACUCAGGUAAUUUUGAUUUGGUUUUCUUUUUCCCCUUAUGGGUUCCUAUGUUUGCCCUUAGAUUUCCAUCAUUUACUUGGCGAUAUUUGCGUUCGGUUCCAAUUGAUUGCACCAAUGUCAUUAAACUCGGCUCGCACUGACUGAAUGAGUUAGUGGGCAAUAGUUCAACUAAUAAAUUAAAUAUAUAUUAAUUGAAAACGCAUAAAAAGGCAUCGUUUCUAGCUUAAUGAAGGAAUUGGUCCGGAUCGAGCGGGUUAGGGCGGUUCUUGCGGGUCAAGCAGUUAAA
rnacentral:misc_RNA from 1 species